rnacentral:rRNA from 1 species
UACGAAGGGGGCUAGCGUUGUCGGAAUCACUGGGCGUAAAGCGCACGUAGGCGGCUUCUUAAGUCAGGGGUGAAAUCCUGGAGCUCAACUCCAGAACUGCCUUUGAUACUGGGGAGCUCGAGUCCGGAAGAGGUGAGUGGAACUCCGAGUGUAGAGGUGAAAUUCGUAGAUAUUCGGAAGAACACCAGUGGCGAAGGCGGCUCACUGGUCCGGUACUGACGCUGAGGUGCGAAAGCG